AGAAAAUGUGACAAGAUAAUAAUAAGGAGCCUAACAACACCUCUUCACCGUACGAUCGUUUCCGAGGUCAACGUUAUUUGCCUGGUUGGAAAAUUCGUUUUCUGCAUCAAUCUUUUGUUUUUUUAUUUCCCGGGCAAGGGUAAAAAAUGCCUCAUCUACAUUGACGUUCGUCUUCGCACUAGCUUCUAAAAAUUUAACGCCCAGCUC